CUUUAGUGUCUGAUUUAAGGGAAGACAGCUGGAUUCUUAUAUCUCCUUCUGCAUUCAAUCUGUUGUGCCUAUUUUGGUUUAUGUAGAAACUGGGCCUCAUACAAAUAUGUAGCUGGAAAAGAAAGGAUCAUUUUAAUACUCUUUUCAGAACCAUCAUACAUCAGAAGUGCUUCAUGUGUACUUCCUAUUUUGUCACAUAGAAUAUUAAAGAUACAUAAAGGAAAUGAUGACACUUAUUAGUUGGCUUGGAUUUUAAAAUAUAAAGAUCGUAUUGAAGGUAGAUGGAUAGGAGGUGAAGUAUUUGAAAUGCGGCAUUGGACCUGGGCUUACAAACUCCAGGUGUGAUUCCUCCUCUUACCAGCUCUUUCACCUUCUGUGAGGUGAGCUACCUCUUUGA
rnacentral:lncRNA from 1 species